GAGGCAUGCCUGUUUGAGCGUCGCAUCCCCUCUAACCCCCGGUUAGGCGUUGCUCCGAAAUAUCAACCGCGCUGUCAAACACGUUUACAGCACGACAUUUCGCCCUCAAAUCAGGUAGGACUACCCGCUGAACUUAAGCAUAUCAAUAAGCGGAGGAAAAGAAACCAACAGGGAUUGCCCCAGUAACGGCGAGUGAAGCGGCAAAAGCUCAAAUUUGAAAUCCUGCGGGAAUUGUAAUUUGAAGGUUUCGUGGUCUGAGUCGGCCGCGCCCAAGUCCAUUGGAACAUGGCGCCUGGGAGGGUGAGAGCCCCGUAUGGCGCACGCCGACUCUUUGCACCGCGGCUCCGACGAGUCGAGUUGUUUGGGAAUGCAGCUCUAAGUGUGUGGUAAAUUCCAUCUAAAGCUAAAUAUUGGCGAGAGACCGAUAGCGAACAAGUACAGUGAUGGAAAGAUGAAAAGCACUUUGAAAAGAGAGUGAAACAGCACGUGAAAUUGUUGAAAGGGAAGGGCUUGCAAGCAGACACGGUUUUACCGGGCCAGCGUCGAAAAGGGGGGAGGAACAAGAACUCGAGAAUGUGGCGCGCACCUUCGGGCGCGCGUGUUAUAGCUCGUGUUGACGCCUCCAUCCCUUUUCGAGGCCUGCGAUUCUAGGACGCUGGCGUAAUGGUUGCAAGCCGCCCGUCUUGAAACA
rnacentral:rRNA from 1 species